rnacentral:rRNA from 1 species
CUGGAUGAUAGCCGGGCUGAAGACUCUGUUUUGACUAGCUGAGAGGAGGUGCAUGGCCGUCGUCAGUUCGUACUGUGAAGCAUCCUGUUAAGUCAGGCAACGAGCGAGACCCACGCCAACAGUUGCCAGCAUGUCCUCCGGGAUGAUGGGGACACUGUUGGGACCGCCUCUGCUAAAGAGGAGGAAGGAAUGGGCAACGGUAGGUCAGCAUGCCCCGAAUUAUCCGGGCUACACGCGGGCUACAAUGGUCAGGACAAUGGGUAUCGACACCGAGAGGUGGAGGCAAUCUCCUAAACCUGUCCUUAGUUCGGAUUGUGGGCUGCAACUCGCCCACAUGAAGCUGGAAUCCGUAGUAAUCGCGUUUCAAAAUAGCGCGGUGAAUAUCGUCCCUGCUCCUU